GACAGAGGGUGCAAACGUUGUUCGGAAUUACUGGGCGUAAAGCGCGUGUAGGCUGCUUGGAAAGUCGGAUGUGAAAGCCCUGGGCUUAACCCAGGAAGUGCACUCGGAAACUUCCAAGCUCGAGUCCUGGAGAGGGUGGCGGAAUUCUCGGUGUAGCGGUGAAAUGCGUAGAUAUUGGGAGGAACACCAGUGGCGAAGGCGGCUCACUGGACCGGUUCUGACGCUGAGGCGCGAAAGCGUGGGGAGCAAACGGG
rnacentral:rRNA from 1 species